UGGACGCCAACAAAGAACAGCGCUGUCUGUUCGGCACAUUUUCGAAACGUGGACUUCGACAGAACAUCGCUGUCAAGAGUCCGCUUGAGAGAAGGUGCUGUUCCGGUCACACACCCCUCGGUCCGAGCUCAGCAGGUAAAUCCGCAGGUGGUGGUGCUGCCAAUAAGCGUCCCUGGACUGGGAGGGCAACAGCUCUCAUUUCCACAGGUGGUGGGGCUGCCGGGCAUUCCAGGGCUGGGAGAGCAGCAACUCUCAACUGAUGUA